UACCAGCUCUCCGAGUGGUAGGGAUGAUUAUUGGGCUUAAAGCGUCCGUAGCCGGCUUAGCAAGUUUCCUGUUAAACUCAGCGACUCAAUCGUUGGAUCGCGGGAAAUACUACUAGGCUAGGAGGCGGGAGAGGUCAACGGUACUUCUGGGGUAGGGGUGAAAUCCUAUAAUCCCGGGAGGACCACCAGUGGCGAAGGCUGUUGACUAGAACGCGCUCGACGGUGAGGGACGAAAGCUGGGGGGGCGAACCGGAUUAGAUACCCGGGUAGUCCCAGCUGUAAACGAUGCGAGCUAGGUGUUGGAAUGGCUACGGGCCAUUUCAGUGCCGCAGGGAAGCCAGUAAGCUCGCCGCCUGGGGAGUACGGCCGCAAGGCUGAAACUUAAAGGAAUUGGCGGGGGAGCACCACAAGGCGUGAAGCUUGCGGUUC
rnacentral:rRNA from 1 species